UGGGGAAUAUUGGACAAUGGGCGAAAGCCUGAUCCAGCCAUGCCGCGUGUGUGAAGAAGGUCUUCGGAUUGUAAAGCACUUUAAGUUGGGAGGAAGGGCAGUAAGCGAAUACCUUGCUGUUUUGACGUUACCGACAGAAAAAGCACCGGCUAACUCUGUGCCAGCAGCCGCGGUAAUACAGAGGGUGCAAGCGUUAAUCGGAAUUACUGGGCGUAAAGCGCGCGUAGGUGGUUCGUUAAGUUGAAUGUGAAAGCCCCGGGCUCAACCUGGGAACUGCAUCCAAAACUGGCGAGCUAGAGUAGGGCAGAGGGUGGUGGAAUUUCCUGUGUAGCGGUGAAAUGCGUAGAUAUAGGAAGGAACACCAGUGGCGAAGGCGACCACCUGGGCUCAUACUGACACUGAGGUGCGAAAGCGUGGGGAGCAAACAGG
rnacentral:rRNA from 1 species